rnacentral:rRNA from 1 species
CUUUGGUUUUAUUUUGUUGGUUUCUAGGACCGAAGUAAUGAUUAAUAGGGAUAGUUGGGGGCAUUAGUAUUUAAUUGUCAGAGGUGAAAUUCUUGGAUUUAUGAAAGACUAACUUCUGCGAAAGCAUUUGCCAAGGAUGUUUUCAUUAAUCAAGAACGAAAGUUAGGGGAUCGAAGACGAUCAGAUACCGUCGUAGUCUUAACCAUAAACUAUGCCGACUAGGGAUCAGGCAAGGAUAUUUUGACUUGCUUGGCACCUUAUGAGAAAUCAAAGUUUUUGGGUUCCGGGGGGAGUAUGGUCGCAAGGCUGAAACUUAAAGGAAUUGACGGAAGGGCACCACCAGGAGUGGAGCCUGCGGCUUAAUUUGACUCAACACGG